CUCUACUAUUAUCUAGUAUUACUAUAUUUUUCCAUUAACAUAAAAAAGCAUAUUCUUUCUCAUUUUUAUUGAAUAAAUAAAAGUAAUAAAUAAGCAAAAUUUUCAUUUUUAUCUAUUUUCAAUUGAAUUUAAAUUGUAAAAAAAAAAAACUUCAUAAAAGAUUAGGAAAAGUAAAAGUAUAUGAUAUAGAAACCUAUAAUAUAAAUGAAUACAAAUAAAAACAAACAAAUCGAACCAAACUAUAAAAAGUACUUGUUAUUUUUAAAGUUUAAAGAAACUAUGUAAGGCAAAUAGUACUAAAUAAAAAAAAAGGAGCAAUAACGCCCUCUUGUUUUAUCAAGAGGGAAGCUAUUGCUCCUUUUUUAGUUCAAGGAGACUCCUAUACAAUCAGACCAAAGUC
rnacentral:misc_RNA from 1 species